rnacentral:rRNA from 1 species
CCUACGGGAGGCAGCAGUGAGGAAUAUUGGUCAAUGGGCGGGAGCCUGAACCAGCCAAGUCGCGUGAGGGAAGACGGUCCUAUGGAUUGUAAACCUCUUUAGGCGGGGAGCAAUGCCGGGCACGUGUGCCCGGAGGGAGAGUACCCGCAGAAUAAGCAUCGGCUAACUCCGUGCCAGCAGCCGCGUUAAUACGGAGGAUGCGAGCGUUAUCCGGAUUCAUUGGGUUUAAAGGGUGCGUAGGCGGAUUUUUAAGUCAGCGGUAAAAUGUCCGGGCUCAACCCGGGCCGGCCGUUGAAACUGGGGAUCUUGAGUGGGCGAGAAGUAUGCGGAAUGCGUGGUGUAGCGGUGAAAUGCAUAGAUAUUAGGAGGAACAUCAGGGGCGAAGGCGACUUACUGGACUGUAACUGACACUGAGGCACGAAAGCGUGGGGAGCAAACAGGAUUAGAUACCCCUGUAGUC